UACGAAGGGGGCUAGCGUUGCUCGGAAUCACUGGGCGUAAAGGGUGCGUAGGCGGGUCUUUAAGUCAGGGGGGAAAUCCUGGAGCUCAACUCCAGAACUGCCUUUGAUACUGAGGAUCUUGAGUUCGGGAGAGGUGAGUGGAACUGCGAGUGUAGAGGUGAAAUUCGUAGAUAUUCGCAAGAACACCAGUGGCGAAGGCGGCUCACUGGCCCGAUACUGACGCUGAGGCACUAAAUCGUGGGGAGCAAACAGG
rnacentral:rRNA from 1 species